ACUGCUAGUUGGCGAGACUGAACGGCGAUCGAGGAAUUAAGGGCGUGUUUGGCUCGCCUCUUUUUCACCCUGGAAUCGGAAUCGGAAUGGAUAAAUCCGUUUGUGGGUGUUUGGUACGCGAGAGUUCCAUUCCGAUUCCGAUUCCCGAGUGGAAUGGAAAUUUUCCAAUCACCUCUUUUUUCAAUCCGGCCUAGAAGGCCGGAUUGAAAGUUGAAUACGGACGGAAUGAAUAUUUAUUCGGAUUAAAUUUAUUUUUUUCAACUUUUUAAUUAAAAUAUGAGUUAAAAUUUUAAAAUUAAAUAUAUAAUUUUAAAUUUUAAUUUAAACUUAAAUUAAAAUUUAAAAUUUAAUCAAGUAUUUUAAAUCUAACUUAUGAAUUUAAAUUUAAAUUAAAAUUUAAUUUAUAUAAAAUGUUAUUCAAAUUUUAUUUCAAACUUAAAUUAAAUUUAUGGAUUCAAAUUAAAAUUUAAAUUAUAAUUUUAAAUUUGAAUUUGAAUAAAUCAAAAUUUAGUUUCAUAUUUUGAAUUAUCCGCUCAACUUCAAAGUUUAAUUUUUUUUUAAAAAAAAUAGAUUUAAAAUUUUGAUAUUAUUUCAAAAUUUUGAUGUAAAUUUUUAAUAUUUAAUUUUUAAUUUGAAUUUAAAUUAAUAUAUUAUAAAGAUAAUGUUAGUAUAUUAAUUUGAUUACAUUUUUUAUAUCCACCUGAACCAAACACCGACAAUAACAAUAAGAAUGAUUUACUCCAAUUCCGAUUCAGGUGAUGAACCAAACAGAAUUAGGUAAUGAGUCAUUUCGAUUCCGAUUCCAGCUUAUUUUGAUUCCGAUUCCGAUUUCGAUUCCGACUUCGAACCAAACGCGCCCUAAGAGUACGGAAUUAGGUGGGUGGGGGAG
rnacentral:lncRNA from 1 species